rnacentral:rRNA from 1 species
GGGAACAUUGCACAAUGGGCGAAAGCCUGAUGCAGCAACGCCGCGUGCGCGAUGACGGCCUUCGAGUUGUAAAGCGCUUUUCGGGGAGAUGAGGAAGGACAGUAUCCCCGGAAUAAGGCUCGGCUAACUACGUGCCAGCAGCCGCGGUAACACGUAGGAGCCAAGCGUUAUCCGAAUUCACUGGGCGUAAAGCGCGUGUAGGCGGCUUGGUAAGUUGGAUGUGAAAGCUCCUGGCUCAACUGGGAGAGGACGUUCAAUACUGCCGGGCUAGAGGGCGACAGAGGGAGGUGGCAUUCCCGGUGUAGUGGUGAAAUGCGUAGAUAUCGGGAGGAACACCAGUGGCGAAAGCGGCCUCCUGGGUCGCACCUGACGCUCAGACGCGAAAGCUAGGGGAGCGAACGG